AACGAACGCUGGCGGCAUGCCUAACACAUGCAAGUCGAACGAGACCUUCGGGUCUAGUGGCGCACGGGUGCGUAACGCGUGGGAAUCUGCCCUUGGGUUCGGAAUAACAGCGAGAAAUUGCUGCUAAUACCGGAUGAUGACGUAAGUCCAAAGAUUUAUCGCCCAAGGAUGAGCCCGCGUAGGAUUAGCUAGUUGGUGAGGUAAAGGCUCACCAAGGCGACGAUCCUUAGCUGGUCUGAGAGGAUGAUCAGCCACACUGGGACUGAGACACGGCCCAGACUCCUAGG
rnacentral:rRNA from 1 species